rnacentral:piRNA from 1 species
CACUAGAAUCCUCUUCUUUUGCUUUCAACAC